rnacentral:lncRNA from 1 species
AAAUAAUAAUAAUAAAAUAAAAAUAUUUCUCGCUCCUCAAAUUCAACCAAUCAAUGAUUCCAAAGAGAAAUCGCUUUCUCUUGAGCACGCAGUCUCUCUCUCUCUCUCUCUCUCUCUCUCCCUCUCUGUGUUCUUUGCAUCGCAACCCUCAAAGCCCUCAAUCAUACCCUCAAUCUACAACAUUAGACUGAGCUUUUUUUCAUGAGAUAAGGCAAAUUCUCAUCUGGGUUUUCUUUAUUUAGGG